rnacentral:tRNA from 1 species
AUCCCUUUGGCGCGGUUGGUAGAGCAUGGUGUUUGCAACGCCAGGGUUGUGAGUUCAAUUCCCACAGGGGGCU